AAAGUUCAAAGUUAGACAGCUUAUAUUUUCAUGUUUGUUUGUUUGUUUUUAUUUAACCUAAGAGUUAGCAGGAGUCCUUCAACUUUUUCUUUUAUCCCAAAGGUAUGCUAAUUUAAAAGUAACCAGAUAUCCUUUGACUACAGACUCUUGAAUUACACUGGGGAUACCACUGGUGGUAGUAUUGCUAAAAGGGUUUUAAAUAUGAUGUACAUAUCUAUAAAUAUGACUAUAGAGCAACAAUAAUUUAGGUAACUUGGGUAAACUUCCCUUGCUUUGGCUUCAGUCUGAUUCUUGCCCUUAUUACCUAGAAAACAGCAUAAUUCAUUUACUUUGACCCGUGCCUGGCUAAAGUUAGACACCAUUUUAAAACAAUGAAUUAUGUGAAAAAUGGAGAGGGCUAAUAUCUGGCAAAUAUCAAAAUCCUAACAAAUGGGCUAAUAUUAGUGUUCAAUAUACAUUUCACAACACAAUCUCCCCACCCCUUGUUUUAAGCUUAGUUGGCCUUUUUCUACCCAAGGAUCAAUUUUUUUUCUGUGUCUACUGCAAGCUUAUUUAAUCUCUUGAGGGUCUUUUUGGUGAGGUUUAUUUAUAAGGAAUUGUCAUGAAACAGAAGUUCUGGUGCUCCCAAAUUGUAGGUUCCUGUCAAAGAAGGACUCUAUUGCAGAUGUUGUAGCCUUGGACUGAAUAUACUGGUUUGCAUCUGCUCUGAGGUGGGCCACAACUUCACUUGGGUCUAACUUAGUGACUACUGGUAAAUGGUGGUGAGAUUUGUCUGUGCUCCAAAGGGUCUCCCUUGGAACAAUCUGCAGCUACUGAGAUCUUUUAGUACAUUAGCAGGGUUUUCAGUUUGUUCUGAAGAGUUUUCUCGGUGCUCAGUUCAACACUGCUUCACUCAUUUCAUGCAGGGCUGAAAUAGUUUACAUUUAGAACCCGAGAGACUACUUUCCAAGACUCCAUAUAAUCAGAGAAAUUAGAAGUGGAAAAAACCCAAUACAUUAUCCAGGACAUGAUUUCUCCCUAUGGUUCAGCAAUUAGUGUCUUUUUUCCAAUCUCAUUUAAAAUGACCUUGCUGAUGCUAACUGAGCUUCCUUCAUUUACCUGGGGAGUCUAUUUUCCUGAUACUCACCCAACUAAGUAACAUCUGUCGAUUUCAUUAACCUAACCCCCAACUCACCUAUUUCAAGAUAUUCAGUUUGCCAAACACUAAAAAACUGAAAAAAAAGUAUCAGAUAUCAUCUCUUUUUUAUGUUCCCUUUCAGUAGCAAUUUACAUGAAUUUAUAAUGAUUAUGAACCCAUAUUUAACUUGAUUAAAUGAAAUAGAUCAUCAUGUAUAGUUGCAGGUAGAAAGGGAAAAAAAGGAGUAUUUUGAGUGCAUGAGUGUAUUUCUAGGCAAAUGGAUUGAAAAGUAAAUAUUCACGUUAUAGAGUAGGAAUGCCUAUUUUCUUUUAUUAUGCCACUGGGCCUCACAAGAAGAUAAUGGUAGUCUGAUUGUCAAUAGUAAGUAAUAGGUGAUGUGGUGGACAGAUUGCUGGGCCUGGAUUCAAAUGUAGCCAUAGACAUUUAAUAGCUGUAUGAAACUGGGCAAGUCAUUUAAGCCUUUGCUUCAGCUUCCUCAUCUGUAAACUUCAUAUAACCAUAACAUCUACUACCCAGGGCUGUUGUGAGGAUGAACUGAGAUAAUAUUUGUAAGGCUUUGUAAACUUUAAAGCAUUAUAUAAAUGCUUACUAUUGUUUAGCUUGAAUGUUGCUAAGUGUUUUUUAGUUACUCUAAUUUAGAAGUAUCAUUUGCCCUUACCUUAUUCCAAGUAAACACUUAGUCUGCUAUUCUAACAGGGUAAAUAUGAAAUGUUUUCUAGCAAAUCCACUGACUUCGCUCACAUAUAGUUUAAGCCCUUUUCUACCCCUCUCUUUCUUCUCAAUAAUAUGCCCCAAUUAGGAGUAUACUUAAAUUCUACUAAGGAUACCUUUUCACCCUCCAGCUUUCCUGCUCUAAUCACUGGUUUUCCCACUAAAGUCACUUGACUAAUGCUUCCAUUUUAUAGGUUUAAAAGCGUCACAGGUUGAAGUAAUAAAUUCUUUUAUUUUCCUGUAGCCAUGGUCCUUGUUCCAUUUUCCUUUUUUUCCAUUUUCCUACUGAUCAGAUAUUCUUUGCCUGAGCUUGCAGUGGGGAUUCACAAAUUCUCAAAGCCUUAUCCAGAGCAAACAAUUGCAUGACUAUAAACCUGGGACUUAUUGGGAUAUUAGCACUACUGAUUCCAAGCUUGAAGCUCUCUUUAAAUUCAUGAGGCUUACUGUCCUCAACGCCACUCAUCAACACCCCAAAGUUAGCAUUCCAUUUCCCGUUCUCUCAAUCAUUUAGAAUUCUCUUGACAACUGAAUUAAGAGUUGAUACAGUGCUAUGCUACUGGAGUCAGGUGACAAGAAUUUGUCAUAGUCACAAAGAGGUUAGUGUUUUAGGGUACACAGGCAACCAGUAUGGUGGAAAAUCAAAUGGCUCAUCCACUACAUGGUUCUUCCUGAUGCAAAUCUAGAUUACUGACUGAACUUGUGCACAGUCAUGGUGAAGAAUGUCUGGAAUGGCACCCUACUCCUCACACUGCUCAGACUGUGAUUUCACACUCCUGUUUUCGUCAUGCUGAUUCAUUCAGACAAUCCAACAGGUGUUUGCACUUAACCAGUCAUACCCAAACCAAAUUAGCAUGUGAACCAUCUGAAUUUCUGCCCACAUGAUUUAAGUUAGCCCUAACUCAGGGGUCCCCCACUGAAAGAGAUGAUGAAUAAAGUUCUUAAGUCAAUAGAAAUCUCAUGAACUAAAUAAGAGAAAUGGAGAUUUUUAAAUUGUUACAAGAAUAAGCCUCAUGAGGGCAAAGGGCAGGUGGGCAGACAGCCAUUAUAUCUUGACAAUUUUCCAUAGCCCUGGAAAGCUGACUAUCACACAAAAGUGCUUAUGGCAUACAUAUCACUUUGGAUUCUUAUACCACAAUAAUUUAUGAUCUGGAAGAACUAUAAAACACCCAGUAAAUGAAUAGUACUUGCCAGAAAGCUUAUAGUCCCCAUAUGAUAAAGAUGACUUAUCAGACAACUGAUUGAGUGUCUUUAGUCUUUUGAAAGCUAGGAAGAUAUAUUCUCUUUUAUUUUUUGCUCAAAAUGCCAAGAAUGGUUUAAAUUAAAUACAAAUAAGACUUCUUUUUCUCUUUGUGUAUUCCCCUAAAGUCUCUUCAUAAGUUUCUCCUGAGAAGUAAUGAGUAUUCCAAUGCUAGAUAAUGUGGUAACCCCACUUUGUUAGCCUUAAUGUCUUAGCUGGUAGAUACUGUUAGCAGUUAUGUUGCAUAAAAAAAGACCAAAUCAAGGAAACUACACAGAAAACGUUCCUACCCUUUUGGUGCUCUUUGCCUAGCAUAAGAAAAACUUUGCAAGGCACUAAGGUUUAAUUUCCCCUCUCCAAAUUAGGCUGCAUCAGGAAGAUGGUAUGAUUCAGGUGUAUCUCAUACCUCUUAACAAAAAACACACAGCAACCUUAUGAAAAAAAAAUGUCCCAAAGAUGAACCUGGAAGGUAUUUAUAGGCAUUGUGUACAAUUAUUCAGUAGUAGGAUUUUUGUGCCCUUUCACAGAUUUAUAAAAUGUCUUUCCUCUAAGUUCUCACAGAUUAGGUCAAGAGGCUUUGGCAGAUGAAAAAGAGACGCACACCACAAUGGCAUUACUACUGGGUAGCCUUGGCUUUUUAUAAACUUGUCAACAUAUUAACAAACCAGUGCAGCUAGAUUUUUCCUAAGACAUAAAGAAAUAAAGGUAUGAUUCAGAAAAUAUUUGGAUAUUAUGAGUUCUUCAUGGUUCAAUAAUUUUAGAAAAUAAAAUGACUGGGUUUGAGAAAUACUGACAUUGUUGAAGGGACAAAUCCAUUUAUAUAGUUUCUUUUAAAAUAAUUUUUAGUAUUUGGGUUAUGGAUCAGUUCAAAACUCAAUCUCUGAGUUUGUGGAGUCUAGUAAUUCACUCUAGGUUUUUUUUUUCUGUUUUACUUGAGUCUUUGAUUAAUCAGUAGAACAUAUGAACAAUAGAUGUGGGUAAAAAUUGCUGGUUCAUGAUACCUUUCUUCUAUUAAAGGAACAGGGAGUAGGAAGUAGAAUGGAAUGAGAGAGCUGCAAUCACCUCUUCUAUCCUCCCAACAGCAGGGAAAAAUAGUCCCUGAGGAAAGUGACUCCAUUUAUCAGCUGAGUUGGGUUAUAGAUGAUCUCCUGCUUAAAUAACACAGCUUCUACUUGGUCAAGCUGCAGGUGCUCCAGUUCCCCACUGACCAGCUAGGAGAAGACAUAGCAAAAGUCAUCAAGAUCUGUAAAUAUCCAUGCCAGAAAGAAGGGGUGGCAGAAGCAUAUGGAUGUUGAGAAUGCAGUGCUUCUGGUUAAAGGUCUUGGGAGAGCCAUGAGGUAGAGAUGUAAAAUGAACUCGGACAGCCAGCUACAUAGAAGAGAAAUCUCUGAGAAAUUAGAAAAACUAGAAUGAGGGAUAGAAGACUGAACCUUGAAAAAGCCCAUAGAGGGAAUACACUUGAGCCACAAAAAGGUCAAAUAUGUGGAAGAAUCAGAAGAGCAUAUUUUCACUCCUACAGUCUCCUCAGCUGAUUUUGUCAUCUCAAUUCCUUUAAUAAAUCUGGUUCAUUGUACAUUACUCCCCCUGCCAUAGUCUGUGAUCCAUCCAUUCAGGCUAGCCUUCUCUCUGUUCCCCACACAGAACAUUCCAUCUCCUAUCUGUGUGCCUUUCCUUGGCCAUCCCUCAUUCCUGGAAUGUGCUUCCUCCCUGUCUCUGUCUCGUGGAUCCCUUUAUUCCUUUGAGAUACAACUAAAGCAUCACCUUCAGUGUGAAGUCUUUCCUGCUUUCCCCUACACCCAAAUGUUAGUGACCUUCCUCCCAAACUACCUUGCGUCCAACUUCUUUAUAUGUCUUUAUAUUUAUUCAUUUUCUAUUUAUGCUACAUAUAUAUUUAUGUAUAUACUUUUGCCUUUCUGAUUAAAAUGUAAGCAAUUGUUACACUUUUGUCCAUGUAUCUCUAGAGCCUAGCACAUAG